CUUUGAGCCGUCAUCUCAGUAUCCUUCACCAGUUU
rnacentral:sRNA from 1 species